rnacentral:rRNA from 1 species
UACGGAGGGUGCAAGCGUUGUCCGGAUUUAUUGGGUUUAAAGGGUGCGUAGGUGGCCCGUUAAGUCCGGGGUGAAAGCCCACAGCUCAACUGUGGAACUGCCCUGGAUACUGGCGAGCUUGAGUCCAGACGAGGUUGGCGGAAUGGAAGCUGUAGCGGUGAAAUGCAUAGAUAGCUUCCAGAACCCCGAUUGCGUAGGCAGCUGACUAGGCUGGUACUGACACUGAGGCACGAAAGCGUGGGGAGCGAACAGG